rnacentral:rRNA from 1 species
GACGUAGGGGGCGAGCGUUGUCCGGAUUUACUGGGCGUACAGCGCGCGUAGGCGGCCGCAUCGGUCGGGGGUGAAAGGGGCGGGCUUAACCCGCCUAGGUCCUUCGAUACCGUGUGGCUGGAGGGCGGGAGAGGGCGGCGGAAUUCCGGGUGUAGUGGUGAAAUGCGUAGAGAUCCGGAGGAACACCAGCGGCGAAGGCGGCCGCCUGGGCCGACCCUGACGCUGAGGCGCGAAAGCGUGGGGAGCGAACUGA